rnacentral:tRNA from 1 species
GCGCCCCUAGCUCAAUUGGAUAGAGCGUCGGUCUACGGAACCGAAGGUUGCAGGUUCGAAUCCUGCGGGGCGUAC